rfam:Pan troglodytes isolate Yerkes chimp pedigree #C0471 (Clint) chromosome 9, whole genome shotgun sequence.
GCCAGGCAUGGUGGCACAUGCCUGUAGUCCCAGCUACUCGGGAAGCUGAGGUGGGAGGAUCGCUUGAGCCCAGGAAGUCAAGGCUGCAGUGAGCUGAGAUUGCGCCACUGCACUCCAGCCUGGGCGACAGAGUGAGACCCUGUCUCAA